CAACCUGCCGAUGACUCGGGGAUAGCCUUUCGAAAGAAAGAUUAAUACCCGAUGGCAUAGUUCUUCCGCAUGGUAGAACUAUUAAAGAAUUUCGGUCAUCGAUGGGGAUGCGUUCCAUUAGGUUGUUGGCGGGGUAACGGCCCACCAAGCCUUCGAUGGAUAGGGGUUCUGAGAGGAAGGUCCCCCACAUUGGAACUGUGACACGGUCCAAACUCCUACGGGAGGCAGCAGUGAGGAAUAUCGGUCAAUGGACGAGAGUCUGAACCAGCCAAGUAGCGUGAAGGAUGACUGCCCUAUGGGUUGUAAACUUCUUUUAUACGGGAAUAAAGUGAGGCACGUGUGCCUUUUUGUAUGUACCGUAUGAAUAAGGAUCGGCUAACUCCGUGCCAGCAGCCGCGGUAAUACGGAGGAUCCGAGCGUUAUCCGGAUUUAUUGGGUUUAAAGGGAGCGUAGGCGGACGCUUAAGUCAGUUGUGAAAGUUUGCGGCUCAACCGUAAAAUUGCAGUUGAUACUGUAUGUCUUGAGUGUACAAGAGGUGGGCGGAAUUCGUGGUGUAGCGGUGAAAUGCUUAGAUAUCACGAAGAACUCCGAUUG
rnacentral:rRNA from 1 species